UCCACAAAGGUGGUAUCUUGUGUCAUCCAUGAAGGUGGUAUCCUGUGUGUCAUUCGUGAAGGUGGUAUCUUGUGUUAUCCAUGAAGGUGGUAUCAUGUGUUAUCCAUUAAGGUGGUAUCAUGUGUGUCAUCCAUGAAGGUGGUAUUCUGUGUUAUCCAUGAAGGUGGUAUCACAUGUAAUCCAUGUAGGUGGUGUAUUGUGUGCUAUCCAUGAAGAUGGCGUCUUCUGUGUCAUCGAUUACUUUUAUUCAUUGUACAUACCUUGUCAAUCAGUCUUCUCAAUCAUUUGACUGUUGCUCUAAAGUUGUUUGAUUAAAAACAUGUUGUAAAAAGCGAAUCUUCAAACUAUUUUUACUGAGUUAGACCACUUUAAUUACAAGAAUAUACAUAGUGUUUCAAAAUCACAUCAUUGUAAUGAUGGGGCAUAUUUUAUUUAUAGCCAAUCAGAUCGCUUAUUCUUGUCAGACAGGCAUGCUCCUAAAGUACUGCUUCGAUUCUUGUCUCAUUUUGUAGAAAAAUAUAUUGGCUU